CCUAGCCCUAAAAUUGUUGCAGGAGUGGCUGCUGUGUCACACCUAUGUCAGUAGGUAGCAGAGAGUAGAGAGGCUAGGUCUAUGCUCAGUGUUCUAACCUAUGAACAUCUGAAUGAUUAAGAGCCUGAUAUU
ensembl:snoRNA LOC120099488 small nucleolar RNA SNORA17